rnacentral:snoRNA from 1 species
ACUUCAUAUGAUGAUGCUAAAGGGACUUAAUACUGAUCAUGUGUGAUGUCACCUUUUUAUAUAUAUCUGACAGAGUUUACCUGCAG